rnacentral:rRNA from 1 species
UACGGGAGGCAGCAGUGGGGAAUAUUGCACAAUGGGCGCAAGCCUGAUGCAGCCAUGCCGCGUGUAUGAAGAAGGCCUUCGGGUUGUAAAGUACUUUCAGCAGUGAGGAAGGUGGGUAUGUUAAUAGCAUAUUCAUUUGACGUUUAGCUGCAGAAGAAGCACCGGCUAACUCCGUGCCAGCAGCCGCGGUAAUACGGAGGGUGCGAGCGUUAAUCGGAAUUACUGGGCGUAAAGCGCAUGCAGGUGGUUUGUUAAGUCAGAUGUGAAAGCCCGGGGCUCAACCUCGGAAUUGCAUUUUGAAACUGGCAAACUAGAGUACUGUAGAGGGGGUAGGAAUUUCAGGUGUAGCGGUGAAAUGCGUAGAGAUCUGAAGGAAUACCGGUGGCGAAGGCGGCCCCCUGGACAGAUACUGACACUCAGAUGCGAAAGCGUGGGGAGCAAACAGGAUUAGAUACCCUGGUAG